rnacentral:rRNA from 1 species
UACGUAGGGUGCGAGCGUUAAUCGGAAUUACUGGGCGUAAAGCGUGCGCAGGCGGUUUUGUAAGCCAGAUGUGAAAGCCCCGGGCUUAACCUGGGAAUGGCAUUUGGGACUGCAAGGCUCGAGUGCGGCAGAGGAGACUGGAAUUCCUGGUGUAGCAGUGAAAUGCGUAGAUAUCAGGAGGAAUACCGAUGGCGAAGGCAGGUCUCUGGGCUGACACUGACGCUCAUGCACGAAAGCGUGGGGAGCAAGCAGG